rfam:Rhizobium gallicum bv. gallicum R602, complete genome.
CCUGGUGGUUAUGGCGGGGUGGCUGCACCCGUUCCCUUUCCGAACACGGCCGUGAAACGCCCCAGCGCCUAUGGUACUUCGUCUCAAGACGCGGGAGAGUCGGUCGCCGCCAGGU